rnacentral:lncRNA from 1 species
UGAUAGCAAGGGGAAACAGGACGUCCCAGGACAGAGUUCAGCUGGAAAUCGAUGACAGACGCCGUCUUUUCACUGUGACAGUGAGGGGACUGGAGAGUAAUGACAUGGGCUGGUACUGGAUCACUGCUGGAGACCAACUCCUCCCAGUGCAUAUCAAUGUGGAGUCUGAAAAUACUGUACACAAGUUGCAUCGUAUAAUAACCCUACCACUGAAAAUGACCCUUCGACAAGCUCCAUCCCGCAUAUGGCACAUUCUUCACACGGUGCUGCAUGUUGCUACUGUUCUCAUCUAUCUGAUGUGCACGGCUGUGAUACAGAACUACAGACAACAGACUGUGACAAAUGUCCAUCAGGAAGGGUCUGGAAUGAGGAAAAAUUAUGAGGAGCAGGUGAAAUUGAGGAGAAAAAAUUAGUUCAAAAUCUGAGAUUUCCUCAGAAGCUGAACUGGUUAAUCACUGCUUACGGUGUUUGCUUAUCUUGCUUUACAGUUCUGUAAAUUUAUACUAAUUACUGGUUUAUAGUUCUGUUUCAUUUCAUAUUUUAAUAUAAGAUUGUUGUCAAAUUCCAUAUAUUUGUGGUGAUGAAAAUUCUCACAUACACCUCCUCAUUGCAUCUAUGCAAAGUUUCUGCCAUAACUGAGCUAAUAAUUAUUUAUUUAACAAUAUUUGUCAAAGUUUAAAGCACACAUCUGAGUGCGUUCUGUGAGAACUAACAGUCUUGGCAGAUCUUUCCUGUCUUGGUAUGAUGUCUGUCAAAAAAGGGGAAAUUUUCAGUAGCAUAAAACAGCCGUGUCUGUAAAUACACACUCAUCCUGAGAAUCACAGGGCAGGCUGGAUUGCAUGCAACAAGCAAAAGUCCAGGCUAAUUAUAAUAUUAUUAUGUGAUUGGUUUUAUAUAUGCCACGCCCAUGCCGCCAAGCCAACGCGGAACACCUGGGGCGCGGCACAAACUGACGCAUAUUAGGCAGCGUCAGAGCAGGAGCUGAUGCGGAACCUUGUUCAGCCUUGUGACUUGCAACCGCCUUGCUGUACCUCAACUCCUUCCUCAUCUCUUACCCUGCUUCUUAGUCUUCGUGCCUCUUCACGAUUAUCGACCUCUUGUCUGUGUACCGACCUUGCCUUUUGGAUUGUCCUUUCGACGAUGUUUACACCUUAGAGACCUAUUGCCUGUUCUGUGACGAAGAUUCUCGGAUUUCCCUGAAUAAAGCCCUUAUUCCACUCCGCUCUUGGGUCCUC